GAACGCUGGCGGUAUGCUUAACACAUGCAAGUCGAACGGGGAUGCUUAGGCAUCUAGUGGCGGACGGGUGAGUAACGCGUGAGAAUCUGGCUCCAGGUCGGGGAUAACAGUUGGAAACGACUGCUAAUACCGGAUGUGCCGAGAGGUGAAAGAUUUAUUGCCUGGAGAUGAGCUCGCGUCUGAUUAGCUAGUUGGUGGUGUAAGGGACCACCAAGGCGUCGAUCAGUAGCUGGUCUGAGAGGAUGAUCAGCCACACUGGGACUGAGACACGGCCCAGACUCCUACGGGAGGCAGCAGUGGGGAAUUUUCCGCAAUGGGCGAAAGCCUGACGGAGCAAUACCGCGUGAGGGAGGAAGGCUCUUGGGUCGUAAACCUCUUUUCUCAAGGAAGAAGAAAGUGACGGUACUUGAGGAAUAAGCAUCGGCUAACUCCGUGCCAGCAGCCGCGGUAAUACGGAGGAUGCAAGCGUUAUCCGGAAUGAUUGGGCGUAAAGGGUCUGCAGGUGGAACUGAAAGUCUGCUGUUAAAGAGUUUGGCUUAACCAAAUAAAAGCGGUGGAAACUACAGAACUAGAGUGCGGUAGGGGCAAAAGGAAUUCCUGGUGUAGCGGUGAAAUGCGUAGAUAUCAGGAAGGAACACCGGUGGCGAAAAGCGUUUUGCUAGACCGUAACUGACACUGAGNGGACGAAAGCUAGGGGAGCGAAUGGGAUUAGAUACCCCAGUAGUCCUAGCCGUAAACGAUGGAUACUAGGCGUGGCCUUGUAUCGACCCGAGCCGUGCCGGAGCUAACGCGUUAAGUAUCCCGCCUGGGGAGUACGGCACGCAAGUGUGAAACUCAAAGGAAUUGACGGGGGCCCGCACAAGCGGUGGAGUAUGUGGUUUAAUUCGAUGCAACGCGAAGAACCUUACCAAGACUUGACACCCUGCGAAUCCUGGUGAAAGCUGGGAGUGCCUUAGGGAGCGCAGAGACAGGUGGUGCAUGGCUGUCGUCAGCUCGUGUCGUGAGAUGUUGGGUUAAGUCCCGCAACGAGCGCAACCCUCGUUUUUAGUUGCCAGCAUUAAGUUGGGCACUCUAGAGAGACUGCCGGUGACAAACCGGAGGAAGGUGAGGAUGACGUCAAGUCAGCAUGCCCCUUACGUCUUGGGCUACACACGUACUACAAUGCUACGGACAGAGGGCAGCGAGCCAGGGAUGGCAAGCGAAUCCAGAAACCGUAGCUCAGUUCAGAUCGAAGGCUGCAACUCGCCUUCGUGAAGGAGGAAUCGCUAGUAAUUGCAGGUCAGCAUACUGCAGUGAAUUCGUUCCCGGGCCUUGUACACACCGCCCGUCACACCAUGGAAGUUGGUCACGCCCGAAGUCAUUACCCCAACCGAAAGGAGGGGGAUGCCUAAGGUAGGACUGGUGACUGGGGUGAAGUCGUAACAAGGUAGCCGUACCGGAAGGUGUGGCUGGAUCACCUCCUUU
rnacentral:rRNA from 1 species